AUUCAGCUGACGAGUCCCAAAUGGGAUGAAAUGUGAGUUCUGGAU
rnacentral:hammerhead_ribozyme from 1 species